CACGGAGUUAGCCGGUGCUUAUUCAUACAGUACCUUCAGCUAGAUACACGUAUCUAGGUUUAUCCCUGUAUAAAAGAAGUUUACAAUCCAUAGGACCGUCAUCCUUCACGCGGGAUGGCUGGAUCAGGCUCUCACCCAUUGUCCAAUAUUCCUCACUGCUGCCUCCCGUAGGAGUCUGGUCCGUGUCUCAGUACCAGUGUGGGGGAUCUCCCUCUCAGGACCCCUAAAGAUCAUUGACUUGGUGAGCCGUUACCUCACCAACUAUCUAAUCUUGCGCGUGCCCAUCUCUAUCCACCGGAGUUUUCAAUCCGAAUGAUGCCAUUCAAUAUAUUAUGGAGUAUUAAUCUUCCUUUCGAAAGGCUAUUCCCCUGAUAAAGGUAGGUUGCACACGUGUUACGCACCCGUACGCCGCUCUCAAAGUCCCGAAGGACUUCUACCGCUCGGCUUGCAUGUGUUAGGCCUCCCGCUAGCGUUCAUCCUGAGCCAGGAUCAAAC
rnacentral:rRNA from 1 species